rnacentral:rRNA from 1 species
AGCAGCCGCGGUAAUUCCAGCUCCAAUAGCGUAUAUUAAAGUUGUUGCAGUUAAAAAGCUCGUAGUUGAAUUUCGGAAUUUGUCGGUUGGUCGGGCUUCACUGUCCGCACUGACCUGAUGGAUUCCUACCUUCUGAAUAACCAGCAUGCUAUUAAGUUAGUGCGUUGGGGAAGCAGAGCUAUUACCUUGAAAAAUUAGAGUGCUUAAAGCAGGCUUGUGCUUGAAUAGAUUAGCAUGGAAUAAUAAAAUAGGACGGCAUGGUUCUAUUUUGUUGGUUUCUAGGAUCACCGUAAUGAUUAAUAGGGAUAGUUGGGGGCAUUAGUAUUCAAUUGUCAGAGGUGAAAUUCUUGGAUUUAUUGAAGACUAACUUCUGCGGAAGCAUUUGCCAAGGAUGUUUUCAUUAAUCAAGAACGAAAGUUAGGGGAUCGAAGACGAUCAGAUACCGUCGUAGUCUUAACCAUAAACUAUGCCGACUAGGGAUCGGACGAUGUUAAUUUUUAAUGUACUCAUUC